CAACUUUUGACAACGGAUCUCUUGGCUCGCGCAACGAUGAAGAACGUAGCGAAUUGCGAUAAUUAAUGUGAAUUGCAGAAUUCAGUGAAUCAUCAAAUCUUUGAACGUACAUUACACUUCUUGGUAUUCCGAGGAGUAUGCCUGUUUGAGAACCGUUU
rnacentral:rRNA from 1 species